GAUGAACGCUGGCGGCGUGCCUAAUACAUGCAAGUCGAGCGAACAGAUGAGGAGCUUGCUCCUCUGAUGUUAGCGGCGGACGGGUGAGUAACACGUGGAUAACCUACCUAUAAGACUGGGAUAACUUCGGGAAACCGGAGCUAAUACCGGAUAAUAUAUUGACCCGCAUGGUUCAAUAGUGAAAGACGGUUUUGCUGUCACUUAUAGAUGGAUCCGCGCUGCAUUAGCUAGUUGGUAAGGUAACGGCUUACCAAGGCAACGAUGCGUAGCCGACCUGAGAGGGUGAUCGGCCACACUGGAACUGAGACACGGUCCAGACUCCUACGGGAGGCAGCAGUAGGGAAUCUUCCGCAAUGGGCCAAAACCUGACGGAGCAACGCCGCGUGAGUGAUGAAGGUCUUCGGAUCGUAAAACUCUGUUAUUAGGGAAGAACAAAUGUGUAAGUAACUGUGCACAUCUUGACGGUACCUAAUCAGAAAGCCACGGCUAACUACGUG
rnacentral:rRNA from 1 species